GCGAGUAUCGCGGGAGAGGCCCGACUUUCAACAUCCUCCCUGGUGUUUUCCCUCAAAACGGUCAAAACACAGGAGAUGGGAGGAUUUACUAAAACAAAAACAAAUGUUAAAAUCACAGAUAGAUACGUGAGAAAAAAAAACUGUACGAUAACAACGCAUGUUAAUUUUUCAGAAAUAUUGGCACCCCCACAAUGAAUCUUUGGUGAUGUCAGGAUCGUGGAAAUUCUUAACGCUUUGUAGAAGAGCUUCUGUUGCUUCCACCUUUCCUCAUUUGGAUGUAUGUUUUUUAGUAAUUUAUAGAAAGCGCCUGUUAUACGUAUAUGGCCAGGGUUAGGGUUACCUCCUGGCAGAGGCAACCAGAUUUGUGGCAAAAAACAUGCAGAUGUUCAUCACCCAAAGGGAUUUCUAGUUUCACAAACAUUCAGGUGCAUAUACAAGAAAAGAUAUAUUCCUAGAUGUUUACAAACGGACUGAAAGCAGGAGAUCUGGUGUGAUGCAUCUGAGCAUGAAGCCUCUGCAUGUCAACACACCGACACUGGAGACUCCUUCCUUUAGUGAUUAAGAGUUUUAACCCAUUGAUGCGCUCCGUCUGCCCUAUGAGUCCCAGCGGAGGAGCUGUCGCCAUGGAAACGUAUUAGUAGGAGCACGUUAAUUAAAGCAGUGAUUGUCAGCUGCGGUGAGAUGAUGUACUUUAUAUACCCCGUGUCAUUCUAAACACUUUUCCCUUUUUCUGAGCCAGAAUUGUGACAGGUCUAAUACCUGAAAUAUGUGCCCAUCCUUGUUCAUUUGGAAAAAAGCACCGGUGCCACGCCCGGCGUAAUUGUUUUCUCAGAAGUGCAAUCCCUGUUCAUGCCCCAGGCAGGUUGUGUCAAAUGAGAUCAAAGUAUGUUAAUGGUUUCUCUUGCCCUUUGCCUGGAUUUAUACCCUUUACAAGCCAAAUCCUCUGAGAUUUAUGUUAAUGCACUACAUAUCCUCAUGACUUACGGCCAAUUUUGUUUUAUGAGAGUUUGCUAACAAAUUUGCUGAAGUGAAUUGAAGGGAGUGUGAGCUUGCUUCUCUCAGUCUAUCCAAAGUUCUCAAGGACUUUUUCCUCAGGCCCUUAUAUUACCGUGGCUGGAUGUUUACAGGACGUCUCAUGUCCCAGUAUACACCGAAGGCUGCUCUAUGAACAGAGAUCCUGCAGAACCUUUAUUCCCAGUACUGUAUGUUGUGUCAGCGAGCGAACAUUCCACCUGUAAUAAGUCAUGCUGAUGGAACAUAUUUACACGCCCACAAUAACAAUAUCACUUUUGUUCUCGGUGUGGUUCAACAUCAUUCUUUGUUCUAAUUCCCGGUCUAUUCCACACUAUCAAUCCUGUUUCAAACUGAAAAUCCUGGCCCUGGUUUCCAACUGUUGUUUUCAAACAAGAUCCUCCACACAAUCACCACUCCAUCUUCUUUAAUAUCGCAACCAUGAUUCACUCGAUCAUAUUAUUAUGUGUAUUAUUUCCGGAUUUGUUGAACAUUCACGGAUGGCAUGUGCGAUUUCCCUGCUGCUCUAUACCAUCAUUCCUCCUUCUUCUUUCAUGUUGAAACAGAAAAUUCCAGCCCUGGGUAUCUCACAGCAGCUAUUCUAUUCACACAAUGACAAGAUCCUUUCAAUCUGCAUCCGGAGCUCAUUAUUUUCACCUGGACGCUCCAGUUCGUUGAACUCAGCCCUUCACAUUUCUCUGAUGAAAGUAAGAGUACAAUGCUCUUUUCAGGGAAAAGACGGAGGCGAGUGACAGUAGCCCAGCCUUAACACCUCCUCAAACAUCAACAUGCCGAGCAUUUUUAACACUGUUGCUUUAAAUUAGUGCUGCUGAAGAGAGCAGUCUCAGGUAUGGCGACACAUCCAACCUGUUCUGCUAGCAUGGGAAAGUUUCAUGCUAUCACAGGGCAAUGAAAUCCUGGAGAGAAGUGAAAAUCAGCCACAACUUUAUUACCAGAUUCUGGGAUAUAUAGAGAAAACCACAGUGCUAAGCCAUGCUAGACUAUGCUAAUCAUAUUAUGCUAGACAUGUAGUGAAGUUUAGAUAACUAACUUAGUAGCUAAUCAAAGCCAGUGUUGUGGACACAGAAAGUGUAAACUCGUCUGUUCUGUAGAUGUCAGUAAACUCAGUAAACACUGACACUGGAGACUCCUUCCAUUAAUCGUUAAUGACUAAUAAGAGUCCCCUAUUUUUAAUUGUUGUUCAGCAAUCUGUUUAUGUGAGUCAGCGGUUACUAUGGAAACCAUUCGAAGAUACUGUCAGAGCUGAUUAUAGAAAUGUCAGAAAAACUCAACGCUUUGACACUGGAGACUCCUUCCAUUAAUAACUAAUAAACAUCUCCAUUUUUUUUCAACAGAUCAAUCCGUUUAUGUGGUGCUGUGAAUCAGCCGUUACUAUGGAAACCGAAAACCCAUCAAAUUCUGACCAAUCAGAAUCCAGAACGUUGUAGACAAAUAAAAUGCAAAUGAUAUUAAAGGAUAAAGGUUAAAAUAUUAAAGGUUUUGUGUCACUCAGCAGCUUUUAUUAGACCUUCAUUUUCUCACGUUUUCCAUGUUGCUUAAUGUUUAUAGAGGAAACACGGCAGAGCAGGAAUUCUGGGAAAUCUGCCUCUUAUUGGUGCUGCUGUGAAUGUGUGCUGAGGUGCUGAGGGAGACAUGCUGUUCAAACCUGUUGAAUAUUAAGUAAUUAAAUGAAUAAUUUAAAAUGAGGAAUAAUCAAUCUGUUCGUUUUAAUUUCAUUUAACUGGCAUGCUGAACGAGCCUCCAGGGCCUUUGUCCUGAUUUCAGAACAACACUGCUGAGCUGAGAUGAAACCGGAUCAUGUGAUUGGUGUUGAUUAGAUUUUGGCGGAGUUUCUGAUGUCGGGGUGGCGGCUGUUUACUGUCUCCUCAUUAUCUCUCGUGUCAUUAUGUAUUUGUACUUAUUUAUUUUAACAUAACGUCUGAAAUCAUGCAGGGGUUUAAUGAAUGAGUGAAUGAACUAAUUGAUGUAUUUAUUUAUUUAUU